rnacentral:rRNA from 1 species
CUCGGUGACCAUACCGGAGGGGCCACACCCGUUCCCAUUCCGAACACGGCCGUUAAGCCCUCCAGGGCCGAUGGUACUGCCUGGGCAACUGGGUGGGAGAGUAGGUCGUCGCCGGGU